rnacentral:rRNA from 1 species
GAGUUUGAUCAUGGCUCAGGAUGAACGCUGGCGGCGUGCUUAACACAUGCAAGUCGAGCGAUGAAGUUUCCUUCGGGAAACGGAUUAGCGGCGGACGGGUGAGUAACACGUAGAUAAUUUGUCCUAUAUUGGGGGAUAGGCCGAUGAAAAUUGGAUUAAUACCGCAUACAGCUAUUUAACCGCAUGGGGAGAUAGUGAAAGGGGAAACUUGAUAUAGGAGGAGUCUGCGGCACAUUAGCUAGUAGGUGAGGUAAGAGCUUACCUAGGCGACGAUGUGUAGCCGGUCUGAGAGGAUGAACGGCCACAAUGGAACUGAGACACGGUCCAUACUCCUACGGGAGGCAGCAGUGGGGAAUAUUGCACAAUGGGGGAAACCCUGAUGCAGCAACGCCGCGUGAGUGAAGAAGGUUUUCGGAUUGUAAAGCUCUGUUAGCAGGGAAGAGGAAGGACGGUACCUGCAGAGGAAGCCACGGCUAACUACGUGCCAGCCGCCGCCGU